rnacentral:ncRNA from 1 species
AAAUAAAUUUUUUAUGGUUUAAAAAUUUUAUUAUAAAUUUAUUUUGCAUAUAAAUUUUAGUGUUAAUUAAUAAUUAUUUUAAAAAUAAUUAUUGAUUUUUGUAGUAAUUAAUAUUAAAAAUUUAAGAAAUUAAGAUUUAGUAAUAUUUUAAUUAAUAACAAAUUUUGUGCCAGCAGUUGCGGUUAAACAAAAGUUAAAUUAAAUUUUAUUAGUAAUUAAUUAAUAUUUUUUAAAAUAAAUUAAAUAUUAAAUUAUUAAGUGAAAUUUUAAUUUAAUUAAAUUUAUUUUUAUUAAUAUGAUUUAAUAAAUUUUAUUUAUAAACUAGGAUUAGAUACCCUAUUAUUAAAAAAUUAAAUUAAUAAUACUAAAAUAGUAUGUAAUUAUUUAUUGAAACUUAAAUAAUUUGGCGGUAUUUUAGUUCAUUUAGAGGAAUCUGUUUAAUAAUUGAUAAUCCACGAAUAAAUUUACUUAAUUUAAUAUUUUGUAUAUCGUUGUUAUAAAAAUAUUUUUAAAUAAAAAUAAUAUUUAAAAAUUUAAAUAAAAAAUUAAAUCAGAUCAAGAUGCAGAUUAUAAUUAAGAAUAUAAUGGAUUACAAUAAAUUUAUUUAUUACUAAUAUUAAAUUGUAAAAUUUAAUUGAGGGUGGAUUUAAAUGUAAUUUUAAUUAAUUUUUUAAAAUGAUUAAAAAUUAAAAUAUGUACAUAUUGCCCGUCGCUUUCAUUAAUAAAUUGGAAUAAGUCGUAACAAAGUAGAGGUACUGGAAAGUGUUUCUAGAAAUAA